UUGAAUCUUAUGGCUGCACUCUAACAUUAAUUUAUCUUGAUCUGUUGUAAGGGAGGGAAAGGGAUCACAGAUCUGAAGUCUGCUCUUCAGGCAAUUUUUGGUGAAUCUUUGCUUAAGAAUAAGGAGGAUUUUCUUCAAACUUUCUCUACGGAGAGUUGUUACAUCAGAACUUCUAUCUCAAAUGGAAAGGUCAUAGACUGCAAAGCUUCCCAGGAUUGCAGUAACAAAUCUAAUAAUCAUUUGGAAUCAGAGGCAAAUACUGUGGAGGUUCUUUCUACUUCUCAAUUUUCCUGUUCUCAUAUGCAUUAUAUUUUAUUGUGCCAGCUGAAAUCAAAAGAACUGAAUUCUUAUAGGAGAAGCUUAGACUCAAUUACUGGUUUAUAGCAAGUGCUUUCCUCCCUUGAAUUUACAGGUAGUAGCAGUCUCUGUAAUAUCUGUCCUAUAUAAACAAGUAUUUUAAAUGAGUGUGUGGGAAGUGUUUGGUUGUUCGCCUGGGCAACUAUUGUAUAUGCAAUUCCUUUUUUCAGU